GAGCCACCACACCUGGCUCAUUGAACUUUUCUGAGCCUCAGUUUCUUCCUCUGUAAUAAAGGAAUAUAAAUAAUAGUCAUACCUACUUUACAGCGCUAUUCUUUUUUUUUUGGGACGGAGUUUCACUCUUGUUGCCCAGGCUAGAGUACAAUGGCUCGAUCUCGCCUCACCAUAACCUCAGCCUCCCGGGUUCAAGUGAUACUCUUGCCUCAGCCUCCUGAGUAGCUGGGAUGAGAGGCAUGCGCCACCACGCCUGGCUAAUUUUGUAUUUUUAGUAGAGAUGGAGUUUCUCCAUGUUGGUCAGGCUGGUCUCAAACUCCUGACCUCAGGUGAUCCACCUGCCUUGGCCUCCCAAAGUGGUGGGAUUACAGGUGUGACCCACCACGCCCGGCCAUAUGGUACUAUUCUUAAGAGUUAAAAAACAAAUGCUUAAAACCAAGUAAAAGCCCCCUGUGAACUUGCAGCGUAGGACUCUCCAUAACAGGCCCACACGUGCUGCUUCUACUCUGACGCCUCCAGCCCCUGCAAUCUGGCUUCUGCCCUCGCCAUUCUCCAGAAACUGCAUGUCUGCAGGUCACAGACAAGCUCUUGAAUGCAAAGCAUUCCAUCUCUGGCUCCAUAUCCCCCUCCUUCCCUAUGUGUGCUGCAGCCCUGACCAGUCUUGAUGCUUCCCGUUCUCCCUGCCUUGAGCUUCAGCAACACUCUCCAGACUCCCCCACUCUCUCUAACCCCUCUUUCCUGCUUCUGUUUCCUCCUUCUCUGGAGGUAGGUGGUCUCCAGGAAUCCACCUUACCCCUCCUCUCCUUUUCUUGCUGUUCUCUUCCACUGCAACCUCAAAGUUUCCAUUCCCCUUUCCCAUCCCUGGUUUCCAUCACAUCCACAUCUGUGCUACUUGCUAAUGCUUGGCUGGCCAGAAACAUUUUCAUCUCUAGUCCUAACCUCUUUGCAGAACACAGAAGCCAGUGCUCAGCAGGUACUCAACAGAAAUCUGUAGAAUAAAUGGGCAAAGGGGUGAAUAAACAAACCCACCUGACUGCCAGCAGGACCUCACAGGUAGAGCUCUACACAUUCAUCCUCCCCAGCCCUACUGCUACUCCUUGAAUCUACAGGCUCAGAAACCACCUUUUCAAGGACUUUCUUGCUUUUCUCUCUCUAGUCCCACACCAUCAUCACAUCUGGCCUCUCUUCUCUCUUCCUACUGUCGUCACCUUAUUAUUCCCUGGCCAUUGUUUUCUUUCCUCUCGACUAUGGCAGUGCUGGUAUUCUCUCUGGUGUCUCCUUCCAUGUCAUCUGACAUACAUCCUCUAAGAGCUUCUCAGAGCUCAGAUAUCAUCACGCUGCUCCCUGACUCACAAAUCCUCAGAGACUCCCACUGUCUAUAGAUGAAAAUGGAAACUUCCCACCUAGCAUUUCAGGAUUCUUACUGACCCAAAUACCUCUUUCCCCACUGACCUUUUAUACCAGUCAAAAUUUAGUACUUCCUUUUUCUGGAACAUGCCCUGUACUUUCCCUCUUCUAUGCCUGUUUUUAUUGCUGGAAUGCUUUUCCGCUCACACUUCUUUUCUUAUUCAAAUCCACAUCUCCCUGCCUAGGACACCACCCACUGCCCUCUCUCAUUCCUGCGGAUCACUUCUUAUCGCUUGCUCUGUUCCUUUGUGUCAAUGUGUCUCUCUUCUUUUCAGACUAAAUCUCUGAUUGCUCCUGGGGCACCCGUAAAAACUGUGCAUCAGAGCCCUAGUGUUAGCCCUCCUGGAUUCAGGUGCUAGCUCUGCCACUUCCUAGAUGGAGAUCCUUGGGCAGAUUAUUUAAACUUUCAGUUUCCUUACCUGUAAAGAGAAUUUCACCUAAAAAUGCUUACCUCCUUGAAUUAUUCUAAGGCUUCAUUAAAAUAAGCUGUACCUAAAGCACUUAGCACAGGUAUCUUGUACACAUUAAGUGCUCACAAAAAUAUGUAGUAAAUGUUCCUAGAGUGAAAGAAUGAACUGUUCUGGUAAGGCAGAAAGCAUAUCACCGACAGCAUGAAGGGAAGCCUUCUCCUUAGAGGCUCGUACAGACCAGAUGGGCAAGCAGAGCACACUACUCAGGCAAGGCAGGGUGGCACACCAAGUGUCUACGCAGCCACUUGAUGGAGCACCUCCUGCCUGAAGCUGGAGUGGCUCUUCACCAUCCCAGCCCAGCCCCUUCAUCUGUGAGGACCAGAAUAGGAAGUGGCUUACUGAAGCCAUGACACAUUUGAAGGAAACAGGUGACUCCAAGUCAGGGAAAUGCAUUUGCAGUAACAAAGCUAUGGGGAUGAGCAGACGGUGUCCAAGGCAUGGUUAAGAAACACAGAGGUGAGGCAAGUGCGAGGGGCUCAGUUACCUCCCUGUAGGCUGGCAGUGAUAAGUGUCAGGACAGAUGAAGACGUCCCUGUUAAAGGACUGUGUGAUAAUCACCCAACCCUCUUAAAGCAUAAAUGAGGUUAUAAAACUACACUUCGCAUGAGUUCAUGCAUUUCAGUUGACCAGUUCUUUCCCUCGCAGGUUCAGAGACCCGCCCCAGGGCACCUGUCAGAAUGCUCACAGGUGCUCAAGUCCUUUGACUCAUAAGCCAACCUGGGGAGUCAAGGAGAGACAUGUUGCCACAGGCUGAGGAAAAUCCCACCAUUACACCAGGCAAGCUAGUUAAAGAUCUGUUUUUAUUUUUUUUCUCCAAACACUCAACGAACUCUAAGAAUAAAUAUAGGGCACCCUACCUGUAUGAGUGUCAGACUGAACACAUUCGGGUAUUUUCUCAGCCUAAAAGUGAAUUUUAAAAGCCAUUAGUUCUGAUUGCUGAAAAUCUUGCUGGGGUGUUCCUGGGGUCCCAGGGGCUCUCCUUACGUACCUUAUUGUUGCCAUUGCACACUCUGAUAAUGGACACAUAGUGUCUAAUUUUUCUGCAAGUAAAAAACAAUGCAUUAUUUCUCUUCUGACUCUCUAAUUUGAUGGAUAUGUCGUUAAUUUUUCAUUAUGAAAUGGCACCUCCCUUUUGUAAUACACAAAAUGCUCUGAGAACAUUUCUUCUUACUGUGACCAAGGCCACCAAUAAUAAACAAGAGAUAACAAACAUCCUUUGGUGUCUCUGUACAAGUGACUUCAGUAAAAAUGACAAAAUUCUUCCCAAUUAAUCAUGAAACAAUCAAAUAUACAUGUUUUUUAAAAUGAACGGCAUGUUAACCAACCAAGAGGCUUUAGUUCCUUAACAUGUUUUAUUUUCACAACCCUUUAUAUUGAUGCUUUUCUUCAAGUUCCAACAAACAAUCUGCUCACAGUCACUGGUGGCCACAGCCGCAGGCCACACUGGGAGUUGAGGUUCACACUGAACGUGGUUAGCUAGACUUCUAAAACAAAGCAACGAAGGCUUAGCUCAGAGGCUGCUGACUCUUCUCAUUUAUUUAUUGUUCCUUCAGUUUUUUCACUUUUUCCCCUUGAUAAUCAAAUCCCUAUGUACUUACCACAAAAAAUUUGGAAAGGACAUAAAAGGGCAAAGAAUCAGAACAGAGAACCCACACAGAUCCAUCUCCCUGAGGCGAUCACCAACUGGCAGCAAAGCCUGGUGACAAAGCACGUGAGCCGUGCAGUCAGUGCUGAGGUCUGCAGCCUGGCUGCGCCUCACGCUGGCAGCUGGACCCCUGGGCUAGAAACCUGACCUCUCUAAGCCUCAGUUUCCUCAUCUGUAAAGUGGAGAUGAUCACAGCCCCAACCUCACAGGGCUGCAGUUAGGAUGGAAUGAAGUGGCAUCUACCAGACACUGGGAACUGGCCAGGAAGGGAGGGGCUCAAUUAAACAACAGCAGUUACUACAACUGUCACUGCCAUACUUUCUCCUGUUCUUUUUUCCUUCUUUCCUUUGCAUGAUUGAGAUUAAACACUAGGUAUCAUUUUACAUUUUACUUUUUGCAUUUAACAUUAUAUCAUAACCUUUCUCAUAUUUGUUUUUUGUUUGUUUUUCCUUUUGAGACAGCGUCUUACUUUGUUGCACAGACUGGAGUACAGUGGCACGAUCACAGUGUAGCCUCGACCUCCCAAAAUCAAGCGAUUCUCCCGAUUCUCCCACAUCAGUCCCCUGAAAACUGCUUAAACAGGACUGCUCUGAGUACAGCGGCUGUGCGCUGCAAGUGGAGGGUCAGACUGUAGCCAUGAGGAAGUCACCAAGGAAACACUACCCUGGAAGGCCAUUCUGUGAUGACACCUGACCUUAAAACUUCCGUCAGCAGUCCUUAACUUAAAGCAAAUUCUGCAAUAACCCAAAACACUGUAUGUUGACUGAUGUACUUUUUUUUUCCACUUACCCUCCCUGUCCAAUGACAGGUAUUAUCUUCACAUUUUGUUGUAUAUUAUCUCCGUUUUUCUUUUUGGCAUAGUAAAUUCCUUGCCACUCCUAUAAAUGGAAUGUAAGCAUCAUCAUACUUUGUGUUGAAAACAUAAACCCAAAAACAUUUUCCACUUCA